UCUUGCGCAAUGCGCGAAAGCGUGACGCAGCAACGCCGCGUGAGGGAAGACGGCCUUCGGGUUGUAAACCUCUUUCAGGAGGGACGAAGGAUCAGGGGCGAAUAGCCUCCUGGACUGACGGUACCUCCAGAAGAAGCUCCGGCUAACUACGUGCCCGCAGCCGCGGUAAUACGUAGGGAGCAAGCGUUGUCCGGAAUCAUUGGGCGUAAAGCGCGCGUAGGCGGCCCAGUAAGUCCGUUCUGAAAGUCACAGGCUCAACCUGUGAAAGCGGAUGGAUACUGCUGGGCUAGAGUCCGGAAGAGGCGGGUGGAAUUCCUGGUGUAGCGGUGGAAUGCGCAGAUAUCAGGAGGAACACCAACGGCGAAGGCAGCCCGCUGGGACGGUACUGACGCUGAGGCGCGAAAGCGUGGGGAGCGAAC
rnacentral:rRNA from 1 species